AUAGCAUAUAGUUUUGUAAGCACUGCUGUUGCACUGGUUCGUCUUUUAUCCUUUGCCUCUCCAUUUUGAUGUUCCCCUUCCCUUCCCUAGUUCUAGUGAGUGUUUAUACAAUACCCAUGGGUACCAAAAUAACACCCUGGGGAAGAAAGAAAAA